rnacentral:tRNA from 1 species
CAAAAUAUAGCUUAUAUAAAGUGCCUUGCUUACACCAAGACAAUGUUUAAUCACACUAAACUAUUUUGAG